rnacentral:rRNA from 1 species
UACAGAGGUGGCAAGCGUUGUUCGGAUUGAUUGGGUGUAAAGGGUGCGUAGGCGGUUUGGAAAGUUGGGUGUGAAAUCCUAUGGCUUAACCAUAGAACUGCAUUCAAAACUUCUAGACUAGAGUGCGAGAGAGGUGAAGGGAAUUCCCGGUGUAAGGGUGAAAUCUGUAGAGAUCGGGAGGAACACCAGUAGCGAAGGCGCUUCACUGGUCCGUAACUGACGCUGAGUGCACGAAGGCGUGGGGAGCAAACGGG